AUGGUGGACAUACCGUGGCUACUAGAUGGAGAUUUCAACGAAAUACUACAUCCCCAUGAAAAAGAAGGAGGUGUUGCACGGUCCCAACGUUGCAUGUAAACAUUCUUCGAUGCCCUUUCUGAUUGUGGUCUGGACGAACUUGGUUAGACAGGUGACAUCUUCUCUUGGCGAUGAGGGAAUAUACAAGAACGUCUAGAUCGGGCAACUAGCAACAUCCGAUGGGUAGAUACGUUUCCAGGAUUCAGUGUGUCGAAUGAGGACUUUGAUAAGUCUGACCACCGGCCGGUUCUUAUUGAUACUGAAUAUCAUCUUGGAAUACAGCUGACAUGA
rnacentral:rRNA from 1 species